AAGUCGUAACAAGGUAACCGUAGGUGAACCUGCGGUUGGAUCAUUAAAAAAUAACAAAACUCGUGGGACCCACGAGUAUAAUCUAAAUCCCAACAUCUUGUGCACCGUACCGUCUUUGGUGGUGGGAUGGACGCGGCAGGAAUGCCACGUUCCGUCUGUCAGCUUGGAUCGAAUGGUCCAGGCCGUGGACAAGCCACCGCAUGUAUUCGACACAUUUUUGUUUUUGUUUCUGUCUGACAUUCAUUCUGUAUUAAUAUACAAACAACUUUUGGCAACGGAUCUCUUGGUUCUCGCAACGAUGAAGAACGCAGCGAAAUGCGAUAAGUAGUGUGAAUUGCAGAAUUCAGUGAAUCAUCGAAUCUUUGAACGCACAUUGCGCUUCCUGGUAUUCCGGGGAGCAUGCCCGUUUCAGAAUCAAUGAAAAUCUCACCCUCCCUUGUUGCUUUCGAGCGUCGAGGCUUGGUGGACCUGGACCUUUGCCUUGGCAAUUGUCUGAAAUCCAUUGUAUGUGCACCAAUUGAUGCGUCUCUUGGUCGUCCAAGUGCAACAAGUGGUUUAUCCAUUUCGCUUCGACAGCCGUCUGACGUUCUUGAUGUGCGUACUCAUUUGACACUGCGGACGCCNCAAUCGGUCUGAUUGCGACGUUCAACAACUNGAUCUGAAAUCGGGCAGGAAAACCCGCUGAACUUA
rnacentral:rRNA from 1 species